UACGGAGGGGGCUAGCGUUGUUCGGAAUUACUGGGCGUAAAGCGCGCGUAGGCGGACCUGCAAGUCGGGUGUGAAAGCCCGAGGCUCAACCUCGGAACUGCCUUCGAUACUGCGGGUCUCGAGUCCGGGAGAGGUGAGUGGAAUUCCUAGUGUAGAGGUGAAAUUCGUAGAUAUUGGGAAGAACACCGGUGGCGAAGGCGGCUAUCUGGACCGUAACUGACGCUGAGGCGCGAAAGCGUGGGGAGCAAACAGG
rnacentral:rRNA from 1 species